rnacentral:rRNA from 1 species
GGAUUCCCCUAGUACUGCGAGUGAAGCGGGAAAAGCUCAAAUUUAAAAUCUGGCGGUCCCCUGGGGCCGUCCGAGUUGUAAUCUGGAGAAGCGUUUUCCGCGUCGGACCGUGUACAAGUCUUCUGGAACGGAGCGUCAUAGAGGGUGAGAAUCCCGUCUCUGACACGGACCGCCGAUGCUUUAUGUGAUACGCUCUCGAAGAGUCGAGUUGUUUGGGAAUGCAGCUCAAAAUGGGUGGUAAAUUCCAUCUAAAGCUAAAUAUUGGCGAGAGACCGAUAGCGAACAAGUACCGUGAGGGAAAGAUGAAAAGCACUUUGGAAAGAGAGUUAAACAGUACGUGAAAUUGUUGAAAGGGAAACGUUUGAAGUCAGUCGCGUCGGUCNAGACUCAACCUUGCCGU